CAUCCCGCUGUAGACGACGC
rnacentral:miRNA from 1 species